GGCUGGUUUGAAGAAAUUCUAAGGAGAUCCAAGUGAAAGCAAAGCCAAAGAAGUAGAUUAAGCUUAGUUCUAGCCUUUUUAUGAUAUUUCUUGGGGUUUCCAAGUGGUUUGAGGUUUAGAAAAGCUUGAAGAGAUUGUUUUCGCCGAAAAGUUGCUCGGAUAAGCACAUCAAUACCUAAGACACCACUUGUUACACGGUGAAUUAUAUUUUGGACAGAAGGUAGAGAAAGAAAUGUGUGAAUGACAUGAGGAGAACUGAAGCAUGGUCCUGACCCUGAUUUGUACAUAUGAACAUAUCGACCUUUUGUGGGUUAUUUCAGUUAUCAGUGAGAUGUUUGUAAUAAAGUGUGAAAUUAUGUUUUGAAAAUAAAUUGGGUUAUUUAAUACUUAUGUAUAAUAUGUUUGAGACACACUUUAUGUUUAAUGUAAAUAA